rnacentral:lncRNA from 1 species
GACCACUUUGACCUUGGGCCAGGAGGUUUGGACUCUGAGCCGCUGAUCUGUGCAGGAGCAUCUGCCUUAGAUGAGUUGCCAGAGGGAGCCAGCAUCUGAGACCCGGAUAGACGUCAGCGAUGCGGAAGACUGUUGCGCUUAGGGAACGUUUAACUUCUGCGCCAGUAUGUAUUGUUGCAGUCUGACAACUGCUUUUCGGCCAGCAGAGCGCACGCACUGUAAUCUUCAGGGAGGCAAACGAGAAGUCACGAAUAAACAUCUUGAAUUUUCCUAGUGCUCAAAGAAGUCGCUUUACCUUUUCACGCAAGGAGGACGGAAAGACAUGAGAGGCAACUUGAAGUGGUGUUGGAUGGCAGGGCGAGAGGCUCCUCGCUGCUGGGUCUGCUUUUGCGGGUGCUCUUAUUGGCUACCACUCCUUCAUGCAUGCUAGAGCCUAGUGAUAUCCUCUGAUGGCCACAGUCUGCCAGCGGGAGCAGAACGCUUGCUGCGUAACCCAUCCCAUUACAACCCACAUUUGUCCGUAGCUCUGAGAAGCAUAACCAAGGGAACCACAACAUACUUGCCUGCGAUUCAGCUCCCAGGGUGUCCUUAGCAAGCACCUCAUACAGUCACCCAGCUCUCCGGGGAUGUUUUGGGAGCAAACUCACUCCCUCGGGUCUCCAUCUAUAUCUCUCUGUUACGGAGAGGAGAGGGCAGUGAGAGCUAGAGAGCUCAGAUGCCAAGCCAAAACUUCCAGAAGCCCGAGUGUUAAUCAUUGUGAAUCUAAUCCAUCCCUGCCUGAAGUAUGGCAAGAGUUCACCAUCCGCGGGUCAUGAUAAUCCCUCCAGUCUUCGAAUCGGGUCCUUUUCCCUCUUUCUACAAGGGUUUCUCCAGAGUCACCUACACACCUGCUCCCCCAGCCUCAGACACAGGGCAUUUGGGGAUGAAUGGCUACAGCUUGAAGGUAACGUCUGGGGCUAUUACUAGAGAAACUGUGAGCACUCGGGCCCAAGGUGGAUCUGAGAGCCAACCAAGUAGCUGUCAUGAUGGAUAGAUUGCUCACUUGUGUGUACAAGCAGCAUCCUCGGUGCUGCCUGAAUGAGCGGAUGGAGAAUCACUGCCAUUGCAAAGGAGGAAGAAGCACACCUUUAAAGACCUCUCCACGUGCGGACCCGUCUCGCUUUUCUACUUACUGAAGGUGGAGUUUGAUCCCUGCACCUCUUCGGGUUUCCCACCUGUCUGUUGCAUUCAUUGACCCGCAAUUGAGUUGCUAAAUAUAUAUAUAUAUAUAUAUAUAUGUAGCCUAUAUUAUGUGCUUAAGUCCCCAAGUGUUCGCUUUGGGGAAAUUUUGGGUUUUUUUCUAUGUUUUCUAAUGUGUAUGACUAAGUAACAAUGAAGUCAAACAAUUACAUGCAAACUCGACUGUGAAAAAUUGGCUCCAGCUUUCUUCUUUUGGGGGCUGGGAACUGGGACAUAGGCACGAUGUUCCUUGGUUUGGAAACUGAAGCCCAGGGAAAGGUUGCCCAUGCUGCACAACACAAAGACCCUGGUAAUUAUUUAUCUUACAGUGGACCGUAACGCUGCACACUAAUGAGGUACCCAAGCAGAACCCUUACAUCGGCUGCACAACGCCCCUGUGUGAGAUUCUGAGUCAUCUCCUAAUGUGUCGUUGUUGAUGAUGAUGUCGUCGUUUUGUCCCGUAGUUCUCAGUAUAUCUGCGUUGCUUACAGCACAACGUUUAGGCUGAAAUGGACUUGAACACUAAGACUCCUCAUGGUCUGGAUGCUUGUCGUGUCUCAGACACAUAGCCACACUACUCCCAUGCGAACUUGGCCUCUUGGUACCCACUUGGUACCCAUUGGAAUGUUCUAGGUCCUUCUCCAAAGUAAACACAUCAGAAAAAUCCUGUCUGUAACUUUCUCACCCUCCUACAGUGGAACUCUGUGGGCUUCUCAGCCCUGCAGCCCAAUCUUCAUAACUCUAGGCAUUUUUCUUUAAUUCUGCUUCCUCAGUUUUCCUAGUCAAAUAAUGCUUUUUUACUUUUUAAAAAUCCACGCAUAGCUAUAAUGCAUAGAUUAUGGUUAUAAUGUGCUCUGACCUUUAUAAGCAAAUUAACAAGUGUAUCUAAUUAAAGGGAUAGCAUCUCUUAAGUCUUAUUUUAGUUAGACAUAAUAAGGGUUUUUAAAUCUUUUUAUUUUACUUUUGCGUGUGUUUCGCCUGGAUGUUUGUCCGUGUUCCAUUGCAUGUGGUUCCUAAAGAGGCCAGGAGAGGGCAUUGAAUCCCCUAGAAUUAGAGAUGGUUACGAGCUGCCACGUUGGUGCUGAGAAUUAAACCCAAACCUUCUGGAGGAGCAGCCAGUGCUCUUAACCACUAGGCCAUUUCUCCAACCCUGGGAAUAGUAAAUGUUUUUUAAAACUCCAGGCCCUGUUGGAUUAUAAUUCUUCAGGGUUAGGACUGGGUAGGUACUUUGGUUGUACGUGAAUCACAGCCUUCAUUAAUAGCUUUCUUUGUUUGGUUGCUUAUUUAUUCGUUUGUCUUGUUUAUUUAUUUUAGCUACUGGUACCCAAGAAAAACUGUUUAUUGCUAACACAAUAUGAUAUGAAUAUAUAAUAAAGUUAUAUAUUGCUAACAUAAUGU